rnacentral:rRNA from 1 species
AAAAUGAUCGGAGGAAUGUAGCUUCGAUCUCGUAUUGAAGUGUUAUAGCUUUGGUAGAUGUAAUGAUCGAGAUCGAGGAUUGCAACGAAUACCCUUUUGGGCUAUCCGCUGAUCUCUGAUACGUUGCCUCGGUAACGAAAGCAUGCUUACGGUAUUGAGGUAUUACGUCAAAAGGUUAGAACGUGAUUACAUUCGUUAAGGAUGUUGACGUAAUGGCUUUAAACGA